GAGCUGGAGGGAUGGCGCAGCGUUAAAGGCUAAGGCUAACAACCAAAACGUUAAAGGUUCGAAUCCCAGCACCCACAAAUGAGUGCUGUCUCUUCGGCUUCCUUU
rnacentral:snRNA from 1 species